rnacentral:rRNA from 1 species
GCACGAGCGGUGGAGCAUGUGGUUUAAUUCGAAGCUACGCGAAGAACCUUACCAGGUCUUGACAUCUUCUGCUAACCUAAGAGAUUAGGCGUUCCCUUCGGGGACGGAAUGACAGGUGGUGCAUGGUUGUCGUCAGCUCGUGUCGUGAGAUGUUGGGUUAAGUCCCGCAACGAGCGCAACCCUUAUUAUUAGUUGCCAGCAUUAAGUUGGGCACUCUAGUGAGACUGCCGGUGACAAACCGGAGGAAGGUGGGGACGACGUCAAAUCAUCAUGCCCCUUAUGACCUGGGCUACACACGUGCUACAAUGGACGGUACAACGAGUUGCGAGACCGCGAGGUUUAGCUAAUCUCUUAAAACCGUUCUCAGUUCGGACUGCAGGCUGCAACUCGCCUGCACGAAGUUGGAAUCGCUAGUAAUCGCGGAUCAGCAUGCCGCGGUGAAUACGUUCCCGGGCCUUGUACACACCGCCCGUCACACCAUGAGAGUUUGUAACACCCAAAGCCGGUGGAGUAACCUUCGGGAGCUAGCCGUCUAAGGUGGGACAGAUGAUUGGGGUGAAGUCGUAACAAGGUA